CGCACCUUGCGCUCCUUGGUAUUCCGAGGAGCAUGCCUGUUUGAGUGUCAUGAAUUCCUCAACUUACAAGCCUUUGUGGUUUGUAGGGUUGGGCUUUGGAGGUGUUUGUCGGCUUGGCAGUCGGCUCCUCUUAAAUGCAUGAGUUCAGUUCCUUGUGGAUCGGCUCUCAGUGUGAUAAUGUCUAUGCUGUGACCGUGAAGCAUCUGGCGAGCUUUCUAACUGUCCCUUGUUUGGACAACUUAUUGACCUCUGACCUCAAAUCAGGUAGGACUACCCGCUGAACUUAA
rnacentral:misc_RNA from 1 species